rnacentral:lncRNA from 1 species
AGUCCAGCCGCAGGGGCCACCCGAACAGUCUCUCCUCCUCACAGAAGCCUGGAGCUGGGCAUCCAAGAAGAAGCAGCCUCAUUUGUUUUCUGGUGUCAUCGUAGGUGGCCACCUAUGGCUUUUGGGGGAUCUUUGCUUUGCCUCUUCCUCCAGCUAAUCAGGCUUCACCCCUGCACCUUUUCUGACCUGCUUUCUUCUAGCUUCUCACCUGGGGCGGGUGGGUUCUGCACCACCCUCCCACCCUCCUUCCUCCGUGUGGACGAUAGAGCCACAUCCAGCACCACGGACAGCUCCCGGGCGCCUUCAUCUCCUCGUCCUCCAGGCAGCACAAGCCAUUGUGGAAUCUCCACCAGGUGUACAGAACGGUGCCUCUGCGUCCUGCCACUCAGGACCUCUCAAGUCCCCGAUGUGAUGGCUCCUCAGCAUGAUCAGGAGUGAGCGUAAUUCAGACCUAUUUAGAUCCGUCAGCCCACGGACCAGGGGGACCUUGAGCAGGACAGUCUUUUGUCUCCAAGCAGUCAUUCCCUGUUAUACAAGCAAGAGUCAGGAGGAGGAAUGGUUUUGGCAUCAUCCCCCACAGACAGCAAUGGGGCCUUUAGGCCUGGAAGGAAGGACCAGGCUGCGGCUGGCAUAUGGAGGUUGAGCCCUGGGCACGGGGCAUCAGCUUCACCCGGCUGGGGAUGCCUUCUGCUGGGUUUGUCCAUCUGGCACCAGCUGGCUUCCCAGCACCGCCCCCACAACCAACCAGACUCCUCCUUCUGCUGUUGCCAUGGCAAUUGGCUGCCAUAUUGUACCUCAGAGCACUAGCUCCUAUCUGGAUUUUCCCGCGGGGUUCCUAGAGGGUGGGAGAUGGGUCUCCAGGGAUUUAUCCCUUUCCCCUGAUAUCUAUCCAAUAAAAAUUCAUAAUAACAUA